rnacentral:rRNA from 1 species
CGGCGGACGGGUGAGUAACGCGUGGGUAACCUGCCCUGUACACACGGAUAACAUACCGAAAGGUAUGCUAAUACGGGAUAACAUAAGAAAUUCGCAUGUUUUUCUUAUCAAAGCUCCGGCGGUACAGGAUGGACCCGCGUCUGAUUAGCUAGUUGGUGAGGUAACGGCUCACCAAGGCGACGAUCAGUAGCCGACCUGAGAGGGUGAUCGGCCACAUUGGAACUGAGACACGGUCCAA